GACGAACGCUGGCGGCGUGCCUAAUACAUGCAAGUAGAACGCACAGUUUAUACCGUAGCUUGCUACACCAUAGACUGUGAGUUGCGAACGGGUGAGGAACGCGUAGGUAACCUGCCUGGUAGCGGGGGAUAACUAUUGGUAACGAUAGCUAAUACCGCAUAAUAUUAAUUAUUGCAUGAUGAUUAAUUGAAAGGUGCAAUUGCACCACUACCAGAUGGACCUGCGGUGUAUUAGCUAGUAGGUGAGGUAACGGCUCACCUAGGCGACGAUACAUAGCCGACCUGAGAGGGUGAUCGGCCACACUGGGACUGGGACACGGCCCAGACUCCUACCGGAGGCAGCAGUAGGGGAUCUUCGGCAAUGGGCGAAAGUCUGACCGAGCAACGCCGCGGGAGUGAAGAAGGUUUUCGGAUCGUAAAGCUCUGUUGUAAGGGAAGAAAGGGUGUGAGAGUGGAAAGUUCACACUGUGACGGUAUCUUACCAGAAAGGGACGGCUAACUACGUG
rnacentral:rRNA from 1 species